AAAAUCUUUGGCCUUGUCUACACAACACAGUUUUGUCGACAAAAGUCAGCUGGUGUCAACAAAACAAUGGAGUUGUACACAGUAAUAAUUCU